rnacentral:sRNA from 2 species
GAUUCGCGUGAGGGAUUGAGGCGGUAUCCUUUUAUGAAGUGGAACGGAAUAAAAGAUAUAGCCGAAAGCCCGACCCGGA